AAAAUUUCUUAUUUCAAGCACAGAAAGCGAAAUCACAUACUUAAUUAAAUGUAUUCAGAUAAUUAAAACAGACUAUGUCCAAAUGGAAUCCUUUGUGUUAUUGUCAAUGAAAAAUAAAAAAAAAACCCAUGAACUUAUAUUCUUGUAUAAAUUGGCAGAGUGUACAGGAAAUUAUAAUUUAAUAUUUAAACGAUUGACAUUUAACACAACAAUUUCAGAAACAAUAUCAGUUUAUAUAUCAAGAUAAUUCUUGGCAUGUUUCCAUCUGCUAAGGACCUUCUUAAUUUGAUCUUCUUGAUGCAACCUCUUACUGACAUGUCAUGAAAUUUCUAUUGAUGUGUGAUUUGAAAUGGCUGGUAUUCCACACAAUGAGAUUAGAAUCAACAAUAUUGAUUAGCUCAAUGUCAUGAUAAAUAUUUUAACUUUUGGUUUAUAUUUCAAAUUCUUACUUUAUAAGUUACUAAUAUUAGUUUGAACAAUAUUUUAUUCAUCAUGUUUGUAACCCCUUUUAUGACAUCAUACAAUCCACAUGGGAAAGCGCCCAAAAUGUCAGUGAGAUAGUAUUAAUGUUCGAUACAACAGAUUUUCUUUCUGAUCCAAUCGAGUAAAAUUUAAGGUGGUAUUGGCAAUACAGAUCCCAUACUUUGUGCAAAAGACAAUUAAUUUGUUUCUUAAUUAAAUAAAAAAUAAAUGUAAUCCAUAUCUUGGCUUCAUAAAAAGAACACAAUGUACUCUGAUGCACUCAUUUUAAACUCAGAAGUAUAUUGAGACAACAAUCCCGUUUACUAUAAACUAUUUUAAUUCAGCAGAAAUAUACAAAACAUGUGAAAAUGGAGUUGCAAACUAAAAAAAAGAAAAUUAGUAAAGUAAUAACCCUACUAAACACAUCCUUGUUUAAUUAUUAAAACUACUAUAAAAUGACAGCUGAAAUGGCUCCAUGUCACUUUUUUAAUAAUCUGUCAACAUGUCCAUUUCUGAGUGAGUGAGMGUCAGCAGCACGCUGCGCUUGGGCAUUACGUCCUUACACAUUACAUACUCACCAGGCGGAAGAAAAAGUAGUUCCCAUUAACAACGUUUCAUUUCGGCAAGAUCUCAAUAAUUUAGUUACUUUCUAACUUGCUCUUGUUAAUCUACAUUAUCUCAAAUUACUAAAGUGUUGAAAGUAUUGAUCCUUGGAUCUGACAAUAGAUUUUAAAGAAUUAAGUUCUGGUAUCGGAAGAAUCGAUAUUUCAGUAUCAAUCCGCACAUCACUAACGGCAACGCCAGAGAUCAUUUAACUGCCCUGAUUAACCGUUAAUUCAGUUGUAACAGCCUAACUAAGCUUUUAUCUACUGUACUUUUAUAAGAUUUUCUUUUGGCAAAUUCUCUAAUCUCGGUUGGACAUGAAUGAAGAUGGAGGACUUUUUUACGUGUAUAGACCCUACAGCUGCUGUACUGAGAGUAAACCAAACUGUUGCCAUGGUGAAGCCUAUGCCAGACACAUCGUCAAUCACGUAUUGCACCAUCUACAAGAAACUUUGGGAAUUGCAAGUGACGGCAUCCUUCACAUUCUUGAGCAGAUGACCCAACAACUUCAAACAAGACCACUUUUCAGCUCUGUGGUGAUCGUGAAACUAACUUUCUACUGGCCAUUGGAACCAUGCUGCCUGCCCUGAUCUUCUGAAAGGAGGACAUCAUAGCUACUACACCUUUCAGCAUCCGUGUGUCUGGGGCCACUCCUCUCUGUGCUGCUGACAGACGUCUUGAGAACACCGUCCGUAACUGAGGCAAGACUUCCGCAUAUAAAAGGCUAUGGCUUAUUGGAAGAAGUUCAUUGCGGGGAAGCUCCUAUUGUUGACAUCUAAUCCCAAGAUUUUUUUUUGCUUUGGACAAUUUGGUUUGCUUGACUCUUAGUGCAGCAGAUGUGUCAGAUCGUCAUUGUUCUGUCAUUUUACAGGAUUGUUUCAGAAUCAGAUGCCCAUCCAGACUUAAAAUUCUGACCAGUAGUCAUGUUUUAUUGUGUUUAUGUGAAACUUAAACGUAAUAAAGAUGUUAAAAGUAAUUGAACUUAUGUCUUCAUUUCAGCAAGCCAAUAACAUAUCUUGUUCCAGUAUUCACAGGAUCAAUUUUUGGAUUUUUGUCUUAGCAUAAGAACCUUGAGUAAGGCUAUGAUAAAAUAUAUAUUUUAAUCCUAUGCAACAAUAAAAAUAAACUAGAUUUAGGUAUAUCACUGCAAAAA